rnacentral:rRNA from 1 species
UACCUGUAGCUCGAGUGGUAACCGCUAUUAUUGGGCCUAAAGCGUCCGUAGCCGGUUUGGUAAAUAUCUGGGUAAAUCGUGAGGCUUAACUUCACGAAUUUCGGAUAGACUGCCAGACUUGGGAUCGGGGGAGGUCAGAGGUACUCCAGGGGUAGCGGUGAAAUGUUGUAAUCCUUGGAGGACCACCGGUAGCGAAGGCGUCUGACUAGAACGAGUCCGACGGUGAGGGACGAAGCCCUGGGGCGCAAACCGGAUUAGAUACCCGGGUAGUCCAGGGUGUAAACGAUGUGGGCUUUGUAUUGGAGGUCCCACGUGGGCGUCCAGUGCAGAAGAGAAGUUGUUAAGCCCACCGCCUGGGAAGUACGGUCGCAAGGCUGAAACUUAAAGGAAUUGGCGGGGGAGCACAGCAACGGGAGGAGCGUGCGGUUU